UACGUAGGGUGCGAGCGUUAAUCGGAAUUACUGGGCGUAAAGCGUGCGCAGGCGGUUUUGUAAGCCAGAUGUGAAAUCCCCGGGCUCAACCUGGGAAUGGCAUUUGGGACUGCAAGGCUGGAGUGCGGCAGAGGAGACUGGAAUUCCUGGUGUAGCAGUGAAAUGCGCAGAUAUCAGGAGGAACACCAAUGGCGAAGGCAGCUCGCUGGGACGGUACUGACGCUGAGACGCGAAAGCGUGGGGAGCAAACAGG
rnacentral:rRNA from 1 species